rnacentral:rRNA from 1 species
CCUACGGUGGGCAGCAGUGGGGAAUAUUGGGCAAUGGAGGCAACUCUGACCCAGCAACGCCGCGUGAAGGAAGAAGGCCUUAGGGUUGUAAACUUAUGUUGUAAAGGAAGAAAAGAAUGACGGUACUUUACAAGAAAGCUCCGGCUAACUAUGUGCCAGCAGCCGCGGUAAGACAUAGGGGGCAAGCGUUGUUCGGAUUUACUGGGCGUAAGGGGAGCGUAGGCGGGAGAUUAAGUUAAGAGUGAAAGCCUUGGGCUCAACCCAAGAAAUGCUCUUAAUACUGGUUUGCUAGAGUGUGGGAGAGGUGAGAGGAAUGCGUGGUGUAGCGGUAGAAUGCGUAGAGAUUA